AACAAACGCUGGCGGCGUGCCUAACACAUGCAAGUCGUACGAGAAAGGGUCCUUCGGGGCCUGAGUAAAGUGGCGCACGGGUGAGUAACGCGUGGAUAAUCUGCCCUUCAGUUGGGAGUAACUCAUCGAAAGGUGGGCUAAUACCGAAUAAUGCUGUGAGACCUCGGUUGAUCAGCCAAAGAGAGCCUCUGCUUGCAAGCCCUCGCUGAAGGAGGAGUCCGCGUACCAUUAGCUAGUUGGUAGGGUAAUGGCCUACCAAGGCGACGAUGGUUAGCUGGUCUGAGAGGAUGAUCAGCCACACUGGAACUGAGACACGGUCCAGACUCCUACGGGAGGCAGCAGUGAGGAAUCUUGCGCAAUGGGGGCAACCCUGACGCAGCAACGCCGCGUGAGUGAGGAAGGUCUUCGGAUCGUAAAGCUCUGUCGGAUGGAAAGAACCGCAUAGGGGUAAACAGCCCCUGUGUCUGACGGUACCAUCAAAGGAAGCACCGGCUAACUCCGUGCCAGCCGCCGCAGUAACAC
rnacentral:rRNA from 1 species